UACGUAGGGGGCAAGCGUUAUCCGGAUUUACUGGGUGUAAAGGGAGCGUAGACGGAAUAGCAAGUCUGAUGUGAAAACCCGGGGCUCAACUCCGGGAGUGCAUUGGAAACUGUUGAUCUGGAGUGCCGGAGAGGCAGGCGGAAUUCCUAGUGUAGCGGUGAAAUGCGUAGAUAUUAGGAGGAACACCAGUGGCGAAGGCGGCCUGCUGGACGGUGACUGACGCUGAGGCUCGAAAGCGUGGGGAGCAAACAGG
rnacentral:rRNA from 1 species